CGCGUAGGCGGCUUUGUAAGUCUGGAGUGAAAGUCCUCUUUUCAAGGGAGGAAUUGCUUUGGAAACUAUAGAGCUUGAGUGCAGGAGAGGUUAUCGGAAUUCCCGGUGUAGCGGUGAAAUGCGUAGAUAUCGGGAGGAACAUCGGUGGCGAAGGCGGGUAACUGGACUGCAACUGACGCUGAGGCGCGAAAGUGUGGGGAGCAAACA
rnacentral:rRNA from 1 species